UCAGAUCUCUAUCGUUUCUUACGGUAAAGAGAAACCAGCUGUACUGGGUCAUGACGAAUCGGCUUACUCGAAAAACCGUCGUGCCGUACUGGUAUACUAAGAGAACCACAUGAUUAGUAGCUUCAGAACUCACCUGUUG
rnacentral:sRNA from 1 species